GACGAACGCUGGCGGCGUGCUUAACACAUGCAAGUCGAACGGAAAGGCCCUGCUUUUGUGGGGUUCUCUAGUGGCGAACGGGUUAGUAACACGUUUGUAACCUUCCCUUUACUUUGUUAUAACUUCAUGAAACUGUUUCUAAUACCUGAUAUGUGCUCCUGCUUCAUGGUGUGGUUUGGAACGUUUCGGCGGUUGGUGAUUUUCUCGCGUCUUAUCAGCUUUUUUGUGGGGUAGUGGCUUACCAAGGCUUUGACGGGUAGCCGGCCUGAGAGGGUGACCGGAAAAAUUGGGAAUGAGAUAAGGAACAGAAUACUACGGGAGGAAGGAGUGGGGAAUAUUGCAAAAUGGGCGGAAGCCUGAUGCAGAAAAGCAGCGUGCGGGAUGAAGGCCUUCGGGUUGUAAAAAGAAUGCGAAUGUGAAGAAGCGUGAGUGACGGUAAUGGGUAAAGAAGCACCGGCUAACUACGUG
rnacentral:rRNA from 1 species